rnacentral:rRNA from 1 species
GGACUACCCGGGUUUCUAAUCCCGUUUGCUCCCCUGGCUUUCGCGCCUCAGCGUCAGAAGAGGUCCAGCAGCUCGCUUUCGCCACAGGCGUUCCUUCCGAUAUCAACGCAUUUCACCGCUCCACCGGAAGUUCCAGCUGCCCCUACCUCCCUCGAGACCACCAGUAUCCGAGGCUGUUCUCCAGUUAAGCUGGAGGAUUUCACCCCGGACUUGAUGACCCGCCUACGCGCCCUUUAAGCCCAGUGAUUCCGAACAACGUUCGCACGGUUCGUCUUACCGCGGCGGCUGGCAC